rnacentral:lncRNA from 1 species
GGGGUCGGGGCGGGCCCCGCCGCCUCUAUAAAAGGCCUCGCGCGGGCCUUCUCAGCCUCUUGCUGCGGCGUGGCUGAGGUGGGUACGGUUGGCGAGCUGGGCUCUGGGGGACUUGCCGGGUCUGGGCUUUUCCCCUUUGUCCACUUCGUGGGGGCUCUCCUUGCCUGAGGGGGUUGCUGGCCGCCGCCGGCGUCGCCUCCUUCUCUCCCCUCCCGCUGAGGGAGCGGCCGGGCCGCGUGGGCUGCCGGCAUGGCCGCCGCCUCCGCUCGGCCUCGGGAGUCCUGUCCCCAAGAGCUUAUCCCGAGGCUCCUGUGGUGUUCCCCAGUGAGCGCCCACCGUUCCCGGGAAGGUCUAGCAUCUGUGAGGGACUGGGGACUCGCUGGUGUGGGUGAUGACAGUUUUUUCCCCGUCAGAGCGACAGUGUUGAUCUUUCGUUGUUCAAGCCAGAUCACGUCUGAUGCACCAGCGGGAAGCGCCGCGGUGUCCUACGCCUUUGCGGGGCCCGGUGUUAACUAUUACCUGUGGUUUUGUCCCCAGGGCAGAGGGUGCUGGGCUCCGGGAGAGCCGAUGCCGCGGGAGGGGGGUAGUUGCCGGCUUUACCCCGCCAUGCCCGAGCCUCCGGCAGGGGGGAUUGGGUGCUGCACAGGCAGGGUUGAGACUCUUGGAGACUUGACGUGAUGGUGUCACUGGCAGUGAUAAAUUGCGUGAUGAGGACAGUUGCCUGGUUUGCUCCACCCAGCCUGAGCCUCCAGCAAAUAAGAAUGGUAAGUCCUUAAAGUAACUGUUGAGCACUGGUUUAAAUUGUAGCUAAAAAAAAAAAAAAAAAAGCAGAGGGAAAUAAUUUUCUGGAAAUGAGUUGAUCCCAGAAGUCUUUGUACCUGGAGACCUGACUAACCUGCAAAGUUGAGCAUUACCCUAGGUAUCAUAGAGAUGAAAGCACAGAGGUUUUCCUCAUGCAGAAGCAUUGCAUCAAGGUCCUUUGUGCCUUUGCUGGCCGACUUGAGGGAGUGUGAGAGGGUAGCAGACAGAUGUUCAGUGUUUGGUGGUGGCCAUAUGUGUGUAUGGCUUUGCCACUUCCUCUGCUAUGAGUUCACUUGGUCCUUGCAGACCUGCCAGGGAGGUGGGAGUGUGGCACGGCUGCUGUGGGUGUGCAGUCACCUAGCUCCUGGGAACUCGCUGGUGUCAGUGAUGACUGAAUUCUUUCCCCUUCAGAGCGACAGUGUUGAUUUCUCACUGUUCAAGCCAAAUGAUGUCUGAUGCACCAGCAGGGAAGUGCUGGUGUGUCCCACACUCAGGUGGGGCCUUGUGCUGACUCUUCCCUUUGGGUUUACUUGUAGGGUGCUGCAAAGGCAGGGUUGAGGCUCUUGGAGACCUGAUGUGAUGGUGUAACUGGCAGCGAUGAAUUCUGUGAUGAGGGCAGUCGCCUGGUUUGCUCCACCGUAUCUGCCCCUCUGGCUGAGGAGAAUGGUAAGUCUUUGAUCCACCUAUCUUCACUGGUUUAAAUAAAUUAAAAUAGAGAAAAAAAAAAAAGAGGAGG